UACGUAGGGGGCUAGCGUUGUCCGGAAUCAUUGGGCGUAAAGCGCGUGUAGGCGGCCCGGUAAGUCCGCUGUGAAAGUCCAGGGCUCAACCCUGGGAUGCCGGUGGAUACUGUCGGGCUCGAGUCCGGGAGAGGCGAGUGGAAUUCCUGGUGUAGCGGUGAAAUGCGCAGAUAUCAGGAGGAACACCAAUGGCGAAGGCAGCUCGCUGGGACGGUACUGACGCUGAGGCGCGAAAGCCAGGGGAGCGAACGGG
rnacentral:rRNA from 1 species